AGCAACACGAUGGGGUGAUAGCCCGCGG
rnacentral:sRNA from 1 species